CAGUGAUUGCAGCAAAAUUCUUAUCCUUCUCUGCAAGAAUCUUCUCCAGGAAGAAAGGACAAGCCAUGCAAACACCCAGUGAGGUGUGGCUGAAAAAGAAAUAAAAAAGUUUUUAAUGGCAAGGACCAUGUUCAGGAUAAAAGGAAAGAACAGAAGAACAGAACAAUAAGCCUCUCUGCUGGUGGCUUCCUCAACACAAGGAAAAGCCAGACCAAAUCAAGGACCCCCAUUAGGGGUUCAGCCAAAGAAAAACCCCUGUCAGAAGCUCUUAAAGCA
rnacentral:lncRNA from 1 species